GAUGAACGCUGGCGGCGUGCCUAAUACAUGCAAGUCGAGCGAACAGACGAGGAGCUUGCUCCUCUGACGUUAGCUGCGGACGGGUUAGUAACACGUGGAUAACCUACCUAUAAGACUGGGAUAACUUCGGGAAACCGGAGCUAAUACCGGAUAAUAUAUUGAACCGCAUGGUUCAAUAGUGAAAGACGGUUUUGCUGUCACUUAUAGAUGGAUCCGCGCCGCAUUAGCUAGUUGGUAAGGUAACGGCUUACCAAGGCAACGAUGCGUAGCCGACCUGAGAGGGUGAUCGGCCACACUGGAACUGAGACACGGUCCAGACUCCUACGGGAGGCAGCAGUAGGGAAUCUUCCGCAAAGGGCGAAAGCUUGACGGAGCAACGCCGCGUGAGUGAUGAAGGUCUUCGGAUCGUAAAACUCUGUUAUUAGGGAAGAACAAAUGUGUAAGUAACUAUGCACGUCUUGACGGUACCUAAUCAGAAAGCCACGGCUAACUACGUG
rnacentral:rRNA from 1 species